rnacentral:rRNA from 1 species
GAUGAACGCUGGCGGCGUGCCUAAUACAUGCAAGUCGAGCGAACGGACGAGAAGCUUGCUUCUCUGAUGUUAGCGGCGGACGGGUGAGUAACACGUGGAUAACCUACCUAUAAGACUGGGAUAACUUCGGGAAACCGGAGCUAAUACCGGAUGAUAUUUUGAACCGCAUGGUUCAAAAGUGAAAGACGGUCUUGCUGUCACUUAUAGAUGGAUCCGCGCUGCAUUAGCUAGUUGGUAAGGUAACGGCUUACCAAGGCAACGAUGCAUAGCCGACCAGAGAGGGUGAUCGGCCACACUGGAACUGAGACACGGUCCAGACUCCUACGGGAGGCAGCAGUAGGGAAUCUUCCGCAAUGGGCGAAAGCCUGACGGAGCAACGCCGCGUGAGCGAUGAAGGUCUUCGGAUCGUAAAACUCUGUUAUUAGGGAAGAACAUAUGUGUAAGUAACUGUGCACAUCUUGACGGUACCUAAUCAGAAAGCCACGGCUAACUACGUG